rnacentral:lncRNA from 1 species
AACUCUAGCUUGAAAGUAUCCUUAAAUACCAAUUAAAAUGGAACAAAAUGUUCUGUCGACCACAGGCAAUGCCUCUGAGAACCUUGGAAUGGAGAAAGGGAACAAUGUCAUCUGCACUCAGUCAUGGAGGAAACAGCUGGACAAGUCAGCACACGGCGGAGGUGACCGGUGGAGGCGACUAGGACUUCUUCAGGCAGCAUCUGAAGUCUCUCUGAAAACACAAGAAAAGAAUAUACAGAGAACCUCCCAGAAACUGCAAGUCCCAUGGAAAUUAAGGCCAUUAGUGUUUUGUAUAAUAAACAGUCACCUUUGCAUUUAAAAUGGACUAUUUUGUUUUGGAUAUAGGUGGAGUAGGAUAUAAAUGUAUACUUCCUUGCUUCUUAGUUUAUCAUAGGAAUCUAAGAAAAGAACUAAGGAUAAGAGAAAAGGAGG